rnacentral:rRNA from 1 species
UACAGAGGUCCCAAGCGUUUGUUCGGAUUCACUGGGCGGUAAAGGGUGCGUAGGCGGUCGGGUAAGUCUGAUGUGAAUCUCUGGGCUCAACCCAGAAAUGGCAUUGGAUACUAUUCGGCUUGAGGUCUGGAGGGGGACUGGAAUUGCUCGGUGUAGCAGUGAAAUGCGUAGAUAAUCGAGAGGAACACCAGUGGCGAAGGCGAGUCCCUGGACAGAUCCUGACGCUGAGGCAACGAAGGUCAGGGGAGCAAACGGGAUUAGAGUAACCCUGG